rnacentral:misc_RNA from 1 species
UCCAGGUUAUCCCUGGCGGUCUCCUGCGAGUUCCCAACUGAAUGAUGGCAACACAGGACAAGGGUUGCGCUCGUUGCGGGACUUAACCCAACAUCUCACGACACGAGCUGACGACAGCCAUGCAGCACCUAUACUACAGUCCCUUGCGGGAAGGCCGGCUUUCACCAGCUGGUCCAUAGCAUUUCGAGCCCAGGUAAGGUUCUUCGCGUUGCGUCGAAUUAAACCACAUGCUCCACCGCUUGUGCGGGCCCCCGUCAAUUCCUUUGAGUUUCAGCCUUGCGACUGUACUCCCCAGGCGGCAUAUUUAACGCGUUAGCUCCGGCACAGACCAAAUGAAUGGCCCACACCAAAUAUGCAUCGUUUAGGGCGUGGACUAC